GCGAACGCCCGCGACGCGUCCGGACGGUCUUCAGACGCGCGUCUGACGUAGCGACCGCGUGGAGGUACAGGCGCGUAGAGCCAUCCUCCAGCAGAGUGCGCUGCCACCAACACAGGUUCCAAGCACCGCCCCUGCUCUGCUUGCGCAGCCAUUCCGCGAGUCCGACGCACACAAAUUCCUGAGCACGAAGGAGAACGUGACUAGAAUCCGCAGUCCUCGCUCUCGCGCUUCGAACCCGUCUGGAGGUACCGCCUGAUAGGUGCCAUUCAUCGCCCG